rnacentral:rRNA from 1 species
UACGUAGGGGGCGAGCGUUGUCCGGAAUCAUUGGGCGUAAAGCGCGUGUAGGCGGCUCGGUAAGUCUGCUGUGAAAGUCGGGGGGCUCAACCCUCGGAUGCCGGUGGAUACUGUCGGGCUUGAGUACGGAAGAGGCGAGUGGAAUUCCUGGUGUAGCGGUGAAAUGCGCAGAUAUCAGGAGGAACACCAAUUGCGAAGGCAGCUCGCUGGGACGUUACUGACGCUGAGACGCGAAAGCGUGGGGAGCAAACAGG